rnacentral:tRNA from 1 species
GCGGGCGAACAUCAGAUGGGGCGCAUUGGUCAUGCUUUCCAUGCCGCCGGCCACCAUGACCUCGGC